CAGCAGCCGCGGGAAAACGGAGGGUGCAAGCGUUAAUCGGAAUUACUGGGCGUAAAGCGCACGCAGGCGGUCUGUUAAGUCAGAUGUGAAAUCCCCGGGCUCAACCCGGGAACUGCAUUUGAAACUGGCAGGCUUGAGUCUUGUAGAGGGGGGUAGAAUUCCAGGUGUAGCGGUGAAAUGCGUAGAGAUCUGGAGGAAUACCGGUGGCGAAGGCGGCCCCCUGGACAAAGACUGACGCUCAGGUGCGAAAGCGUGGGGAGCAAACAGGAUUAGAUACCCGGGUAGUCCCUGUCUCUUAUAC
rnacentral:rRNA from 1 species